rnacentral:ncRNA from 1 species
UGUGAGCUAUUAGUUGGCCAGUAGUAUUGAGCUCGCAACUCUCUACGCAAUACCUUCAAAUUGACGGGAACCUCCUAAAGCUACUUAAACCAAGCUAUGGCAGUAAUAACAUAAGUGGCCGUACUAAUCACACGGGUAUGGUAAAAUAUAAGUAGAUUCCGUAAGGAAAUGGACAAUCCGCAGCCAAGCACCAUAUUAUAAAUUUGUUUCAUUUCAGGUUUUUUUUUUAAUUUUUUAUAAUAUGGUGUGCAGUUCAUCGACUAAAUGUAGGUAGGCAAGAGAUAAUUAAUAAUUAUUACUUGUUUAAGAUAUAGUCAAGCCUCACUCGAAAGGGUGCA